GCUGCAUUGAGCUCAAGUUACCUGGGGAAAGUGCAGAUUCGGGGUCCUACUCCCCUGAGACAGAGUCAGUGGGGGCCUGGGGAUGUGGAUUUUAGUUUUGUGGGUGUGUUUUUGGCACCCUAGGGAAUUCUGACGUUAGUUCUUUGCUUAGUAGCCUGGGCAACAAGAGCGAAACUCUGUCUCAAAAAAAAGGAACACCUCUCUAGAAGCACUUCAGGCAUCAAAGCUAGAAAUUCUUUAAAGUCCAUGACGCUGUUGCCUCUGCCUAGAACGCAGAGGCCCCAGAUCUCUCCCUGCACACAAUCUGCUUUCGUGUUCCUGAUGGAUUGAAUCAAGAGUGAAUGAGCUCCUACUUCGCGAAAGCAAAACAAACUAAACGCAUCAACCACGACCGCAGAGCCCCCAUCUCUCCCAGGAGGGUGAGCCCAUGUUGUGUUUUCAUUUGUCAGAAAUCUAUCUUAGGAAGCCAUUCCUGAGAUCUGUUCUAAUUUAGGCCAUUUUUAAAAAAAAUAAUGCAGUUGAUUCUUUUCCCGUGAUCUUUCUUUUCUCCAUGACUUAAAUUUCCCCAGGAACUAUUCAAAUGCCGCAUCUGGGGUUUUGUUUUUGUUUUUUGAUGAAGUCAUGACUUUCUUUAAACAGUAAUUAUUAAACAAACCAAAGGGAAACCUUCUGUGAGGAUGCUGUUUACAAAUAUCACCACUUUUACAAUCAGUAAUGGAGGUUGCAAAGUGCAGGAUUCUGAGUUCCAGUGAGUCUGGGGAGUUGCUUGAGUCUUCCAAUUGGUUCCUGCCUUGUCCAGAGGGUGGUUUCUCGCAUGGGAAAUGGUCUUCAAUGCCCUUCCCUCCUCCUCCUCUCUCCUAACUCGAUUUUUCCAGGGCUUUCAUGUUUCGCUCCCAUCGCAGGGUCGGGAAUGCCCUGUGCUUGGUGACCAUAGGGUGGUGAAGUCACCCUGCUCUGCUAGAAAAGGGACGAGUGCUGUGUUUUGGGUGGAUGACCAAGGGCUCACUAUCCCGGUGGCUCAUUUCCUGGGGGCCUGUGGGCUGCCGGGAGCACCCUGAGGAGGACAGAGUGGAGUUGCAGCUGCCCAUGCACUGCAGAGGGGACACGGGUGUUGUGCAGCAUCUCGGGAAGGGCGUGGCAGAUGUGGCAGGUGCAUGGCAGGGCCAUUCCAUUCUGUCUGUUGCGGGACCCUCCAUCCAGCUCAGGGCCGUGGAUUGAACAGAGAGACAG
rnacentral:lncRNA from 1 species